rnacentral:rRNA from 1 species
UAACACGUAUCCAACCUGCCGACUUACUCGGGGGAUAGCCUUUCGAAAGAAAGAUUAAUACCCGAUGGUAUAAAGAGUUCGCAUGUUCUCUUUAUUAAAGAAUUUCGGUAAGCGAUGGGGAUGCGUUCCAUUAGAUUGUUGGCGGGUAACGGCCCACCAAGUCUACGAUGGAUAGGGGUUCUGAGAGGAAGGUCCCCCACAUUGGGAACUGAGACACGGUCCAAACUCCUACGGGAGGCAGCAGUGAGGAAUAUUGGUCAAUGGACGAGAGUCUGAACCAGCCAAGUAGCGUGAAGGAUGACUGCCCUAUGGGUUGUAAACUUCUUUUAUAAGGGAAUAAAGUGAGGGACGUGUCCCUUUUUGUAUGUACCUUAUGAAUAAGGAUCGGCUAACUCCGUGCCAGCAGCAGC